rnacentral:rRNA from 1 species
CCCUUAGAUGUUCUGGGCCGCACGCGCGCUACACUGAUGCAUUCAACGAGUUUCUUCCUGGUCCGAGAGGAAUGGGUAACCUUUUGAAAGUGCAUCGUGAUAGGGAUAGACUAUUGCAAUUAUUGGUCUUCAACGAGGAAUUCCUAGUAGACGUAGUUCAUCAGACUGCAUCGAUUACGUCCCUGCCCUUUGUACACACCGCCCGUCGCUCCUACCGAUUGAAUGCUCAGGUGAGCCAUUCGGACUUUCAUCAUGCUGGUUUCCAGUUUUGAUGAAGGAAAGUCUUGCGAACCUUAUCAUUUAGAGGAAGGAGAAGUCUUAACA